GAAAGGCCUCUGACAAGUAGAGGAAGGUAGAAAGGCAGCAGGGCUUCGGCCUGGACCCAGAGGUGAUAGUUCACGUUUGAAGUCAUGCCUAAGAGAAAAAACUCCAGGCCAAGUAAGCACCAUUACCUCCGUGCUGCCCACCUGUUCCCCUGCCAAAUGGGUAUGUAACCAAGUUAAUGAUGCCAUUUUCCAAAGCUCAGGACGA